rnacentral:rRNA from 1 species
AGGGAGACUGCCGGUGAUAAACCGGAGGAAGGUGGGGACGACGUCAAGUCAUCAUGGCCCUUACGAGUAGGGCUACACACGUGCUACAAUGGCGCAUACAGAGGGCGGCCAACUUGCGAAAGUGAGCGAAUCCCAAAAAGUGCGUCGUAGUCCGGAUUGGAGUCUGCAACUCGACUCCAUGAAGUCGGAAUCGCUAGUAAUCGUGGAUCAGAAUGCCACGGUGAAUACGUUCCCGGGCCUUGUACACACCGCCCGUCACACCAUGGGAGUGGGCUGCAAAAGAAGUAGGUAGUUUAACCUUCGGGGGGACGCUUACCACUUUGUGGUUCAUGACUGGGGUGAAGUCGUAACAAGGUAGCGCUAGGGGAACCUGGCGCUGGAUCACCUCCUUAAACGAUGAU